AGAGUUUGAUCAUGGCUCAGGACGAACGCUGGCGGCGUGGAUAAGGCAUGCAAGUCAAGGGGCUCGCAAGAGCCCGGCGAACGAGGUAGUAACACGUAGGUAUUUCCCCCAGAGUCAGGAAUAACCAGUCGAAAGAUUGGCUAAUACUUGAUAGUGUCUCCGGACUAAAGAUUUAUCGCUUUGGGAAAAGCCUGCGUAGUAUCAGCUAGUUGGUAAGGUAAUGGCUUACCAAGGCUAUGACGCUUAGGGGACCUGAGAGGGUGACCCCCACCGAUGGUACUGAGACACGGACCAUACACCUACGGGUGGCCGCAGUCGAGAAUCUUCCCCAAUGGACGAAAGUCUGAUGGAGCGACGCCGCGUGAUUGAUGAAGACCCUCUGGGUCGUAAAAAUCUUUUAUGAGCUACUAAGUUUAUUGAAGAGCUCAUGAAUAAGGGGUUGCUAAACUCGUGCCAGCAGCAGCGGUAAUACGAGUGCCCCGAGCGUUAUCCGGAAUCAUUGGGCGUAAAGGGUGUGUAGGUGGUCGUGUUAGUCUUCCGUUAAAACCUGGGGCUUAACCUCAGAUAUGCGAAAGAAACGGCACGACUGGAGGGUGCGAGGGGUCUGUGGAACUCAUGGAGUAGGGGUGAAAUCCGUUGAUAUCAUGGGGAACACCAAAAGCGAAGGCAGCAGACUGGCGCAUUCCUGACACUGAAACACGAAAGCGUGGGUAGCGAAUGGGAUUAGAUACCCUAGUAGUCC
rnacentral:rRNA from 1 species